GCCUCUGUAGCUCAGUUGGUUAGAGCGCUGCACCGGAAUCACAUGCAGAGCCGUAGGUUCACUUCCUUCCAUAGGAC
rnacentral:tRNA from 1 species